rnacentral:rRNA from 1 species
AGCAGCCGCGGUAAUUCCAGCUCCAAUAGCGUAUAUUAAAGUUGUUGCAGUUAAAAAGCUCGUAGUUGAAUUUCGAGAUCAAAUUGUUGGUCGUGCCUUGGUACGCACUGGCAUUAUUGGUUUCUCCCUUCUGAAGAACCAUGAUGUCAUUAAUUUGGUGUCAUGGGGAAUCAGGACUGUUACUUUGAAAAAUUGAGUGUUUAAAGCAGGCUCGCGCUUGAAUACAUUAGCAUGGAAUAAUGAAAUAGGACGUUUGAUUCUAUUUUGUUGGUUUCUAGGAUCGACGUAAUGAUUAAUAGGGAUAGUUGGGGCAUUAGUAUUCAAUUGUCAGAGGUGAAAUUCUUGGAUUUAUUGAAGACUAACUACUGCGAAAGCAUUUGCCAGGGAUGUUUUCAUUAAUCAAGAACGAAAGUUAGGGGAUCGAAGACGAUCAGAUACCGUCGUAGUCUUAACCAAUAAACUAUGCCGACUA